ACGGGUGAGUAACGCGUGGGAAUCUACCCAUCUCUACGGAACAACUCCGGGAAACUGGAGCUAAUACCGUAUACGUCCUUCGGGAGAAAGAUUUAUCGGAGAUGGAUGAGCCCGCGUUAGAUUAGCUAGUUGGUGGGGUAAUGGCCUACCAAGGCGACGAUCCAUAGCUGGUCUGAGAGGAUGAUCAGCCACACUGGGACUGAGACACGGCCCAGACUCCUACGGGAGGCAGCAGUGGGGAAUAUUGGACAAUGGGCGAAAGCCUGAUCCAGCCAUGCCGCGUGAGUGAUGAAGGCCCUAGGGUUGUAAAGCUCUUUCAACGGUGAAGAUAAUGACGGUAACCGUAGAAGAAGCCCCGGCUAACUUCGUGCCAGCAGCCGCGGUAAUACGAAGGGGGCUAGCGUUGUUCGGAAUUACUGGGCGUAAAGCGCACGUAGGCGGAUUGUUAAGUUAGGGGUGAAAUCCCAGGGCUCAACCCUGGAACUGCCUUUAAUACUGGCAAUCUCGAGUCCGAGAGAGGUGAGUGGAAUUCCGAGUGUAGAGGUGAAAUUCGUAGA
rnacentral:rRNA from 1 species